rnacentral:rRNA from 1 species
AAACUUUCAACAACGGAUUUGUCGUUUCUCGCAUCGAUGAAGAACGCAGCGGAAUGCGAUAAGUAAUGUGAAUUGCAGAAUUCAGUGAAUCAUCGAAUCUUUGAACGCACAUUGCGCCCCCUGGUAUUCCGGGGGGCAUGCCUGUCCGAGCGUCAUUA